AUGAUGAUUGAGGCGAAGAACAAGGGCAAGGAGGCGGUGUCGGCAAUGGAGAAGGGCAAGGAGGUGGUGCCACUCACAGACGAGGACGUGGUGGUGGAGGAGCCCCGCAGCGGCAAGUGCUGGAACUACGGGCACUACCAUGAGGGUGGGCCAACUCAAUUCUGCAAAGUGCAUGCCUAUGCCCCUAGACUUCACGAAGCACUUCCCCGUCGUGCGGACGGAGUUAAGCUGAAGACAAACACCGGCUCCCAAUGGAGGGUCAUUGUCCAGCUGAUGAACGGCCGAGUCAACCUUGAUCGGGGUUGGGCCCUCUUUGCCGUCGUCCACCAGAUCAAGAUCCGGUACUUGGUGACCUUCAAGUUGCUGACUCACGACACCUUGAAGGUGACCGUCUUCAACGACGACGGCAUUGAAGUGGUGACCAAGUGUGGGAGGCACAACGACGCCUUCGCAGUGAACGUCUAG
rnacentral:rRNA from 1 species